rnacentral:rRNA from 1 species
UACGGAGGGUGCAAGCGUUGUCCGGAUUUAUUGGGCGUAAAGAGCGUGUAGGCGGCCAUACAGGUCAGCUGUGAAAAACUCGAGGCUCAACCUCGAGACGUCGGUUGAAACCGUAUGGCUAGAGUCCGGAAGAGGAGACUGGAAUUCCUGGUGUAGCGGUGAAAUGCGCAGAUAUCAGGAGGAACACCGGUGGCGAAGGCGGGUCUCUGGGCCGAUACUGACGCUGAGGAGCGAAAGCGUGGGGAGCGAACAGG